GACGAACGCUGGCGGCGUGCCUAAUACAUGCAAGUCGAACGCACUCUCGUUUAGAUUGAAGGAGCUUGCUCCUGAUUGAUAAACAUUUGAGUGAGUGGCGGACGGGUGAGUAACACGUGGGUAACCUGCCCUAAAGUGGGGGAUAACAUUUGGAAACAGAUGCUAAAUACCGCAUAAAAACCUAAACACCGCAUGGUGUAGGGUUGAAAGAUGGUUUCGGCUAUCACUUUAGGAUGGACCCGCGGUGCAUUAGUUAGUUGGUGAGGUAAAGGCUCACCAAGACCGUGAUGCAUAGCCGACCUGGGAGGGUAAUCGGCCACACUGGGACUGAGACACGGCCCAGACUCCUACGGGAGGCAGCAGUAGGGAAUCUUCCACAAUGGACGAAAGUCUGAUGGAGCAACGCCGCGUGAGUGAAGAAGUUUCGGAUCGUAAAACUACUGUUGUUGAGAAGAAUGUAUCUGAUAGUAACUGAUCAGGUAGUGACGGUAUCCAACCAGAAAG
rnacentral:rRNA from 1 species